AUACACACACAGAGGAAUUACAUUUAAAAUGCAGAUUCUGAUUCAGUAAGUCUUGGGGGGCUGAGAUUCAGCAUUUAUAACAAGUUCCCAAGUGAUGCUAAU
rnacentral:miRNA from 1 species